rnacentral:rRNA from 1 species
CAGUUCAGAUUGCAGGCUGCAACCCGCCUGCACGAAGUCGGAAUUGCUAGUAAUCGCGGAUCAGCAUGCCGCGGUGAAUACGUUCCCGGGCCUUGUACACACCGCCCGUCACACCAUGGGAGCCGGUAAUACCCGAAGUCAGUAGUCCAACCUCGUGAGGACGCUGCCGAAGGUAGGAUUGGCGACUGGGGUGAAGUCGUAACAAGGUAUC